AACUAGAAAAUACAAAAAAGUAACAAAGAAACUACGAAAGUAUAUCGAGGACACGUUGUGGGCCAAGGAUGGCCGAUUCGUCGUCGUUUUGGAGAAACCGUGCUGUAUUCAGUUCGAGUACUUGGUGUACUACGAGACCGGCAUCACCGGAAAGCUGAGCUGAAGGGCAUUCAGGUCCGAAGACUGUUCUUUUGGUUCGACGUCAAUGAGAUCAGGGUCGAUUUGCCGCCGUCCGAUGGUAUUUACUUCACCGUUGGGAUCAUCAACAAGAAGCUCGAUGUCGAUCAGUUCCAGAGCGUUCAUUCUUGCCGGGACGGGUUUUCGGGUUCCGAUUCGGGUUCUUGCCUCGGGUCGUUGAAACGGGUCAUUCAGCUUCCAUCUCCACUGGAAGAAGAGAUAAAGAUGCCUGCUUACUGAGUAGCUGACACCAUCACGUGCUUAUGGUGUUCGUAGUGGUUGAGCCUCAGAAACCUACAAAGUCCUACUCGACACUUUUAGAUUCAGAAGCCUAGACUCACAAGACGUUGAGUUUGGUUGUAGUAAAAUCGAGUGUAAUGUACCCUACUGGACAUGUUUCAUAGUUAUUUUCCACAUGGGGUAUUAUUUAGUCUUA